rnacentral:lncRNA from 1 species
AGCAUUGCAAGGUCUCACCUCCGCCAUGGAUGGUCCAGAAACAAUGGGAAGGACUGGUGUGAAAUGUGAGUUGGUGAGGAAGAUCAACCUACCGGCCUAGACCAAGACUCAAUGUAGAACCUCCUGAGGUUAUUGGGCCUAUGUUGUCCGAGCAGUUCAGUGAUGAAGAAGGGGAACCACCAAAACCUGAAGAAGGAGAACCAGCAAAUCAAAGUCGGGAUCCUGCACCUGCUCAGGAGGGAGAGGACAAGGGAGCAUCUGCAGCUCAAGGUGAAAAGCAAUCACAGAGUUAAAAGAAGACACGCUGAAAUGAUGCAGGCUGCUCCUGUGUUGGAAAUUUGUUCAUUAAAGUUCUCCCAAU